rnacentral:lncRNA from 12 species
CAACAGCCUGCUUCCAUCAUCUCCCUUGCAGAACAGGAGAUCCGCAGGGAUCAGCUCCCUGCCAGCAGCAUGUCCCCAAAUCCGGCAGCAGGGGGGAUAAAAAUCCUCUGCUGGGUAUCACCUGGAGAGGAAGGCACAUGCAGAAUGCUGGAUAAAUGCAGCUUGGAUUAUUUGGGAAGCAGUUCAAUUUGUGGGACCCUCCAAGGCGUGAGCACCCCUUCCUUCAGAGCAGGACAGCGGGACACUGCCGGGUCUGGACAAUCCUGGCCCACGGGCUCUGCACGCCCAUGAUGGGCACAGGAAUGAGGGAUUUUCUCACAGCACCAAUGAGCAGCUUCUGGGCUCUGCCCUCCUGGCCAGGAGCCGGAAUGUGAAGCAAUUUGGCUGCCAAAUGUCCGUAUUUAAACUCUCUGUAAUUAUUCCCCAGAAGCGCGUUCCCACGUGGAGGAGCAGCAGCCCUCGCCGAGCGUUCUCUGACUCAGCAGAAAUCGCUGGAAAAUGUUUGCUCAUGGAUGGAAACCUGCAGGGAACAGGCAAAGGGGCAGGCACAGAGCAUUCAUGUCUGGUGAUGGUGAGAGAUGGGAUACAGGCCUGGCAGACACCUGGCACCACUUCACAGUGAACACUGGGAAAGGAAAGAAGGAACCUGAAACCUUACAAAUAGCAGCACAUCAACAGCUCAGAAAGUCAAAACAUUUGGGGCAUGGCAGCUGCUGAAAGCAGAGGAGACCUGCCCAUGCUGCUGUGCUUGAGGGGAUUUGCCAAUCAAUGGAAUUUUGUUCAUCCCAUGGCAUAUCUGUGCAGCUGGAGUGAGGAGAGAGCACAUCCUUCAUGCCACUGGUUCAUGACAGAUGGUCCAGCCCAAGCCCUGGAGCAACAGCUGACCCUGCAGCAUCCUUAGGGACACUCUGCUGUCAACACAGGUUUCUCCAAUAAAUCUCUUGUGCCAAGUCCUGAGGGGAAAAAAUAUCCUUCCAA